rnacentral:rRNA from 1 species
GACGAACGCUGGCGGCGUGCCUAAUACAUGCAAGUCGAGCGGACUGAUUAAGAGCUUGCUCUUAUGACGUUAGCGGCGGACGGGUGAGUAACACGUGGACAACCUGCCCUGUAGAUCGGGAUAACACCGAGAAAUCGGUGCUAAUACCGGGUAAUAUCUGAGAUCACAUGAUCUUAGGUUAAAAGAUGGCUCCGGCUAUCACUACAGGAUGGGCCCGCGGCGCAUUAGCUAGUUGGUAAGGUAAUGGCUUACCAAGGCGACGAUGCGUAGCCGACCUGAGAGGGUGAUCGGCCACACGGGGACUGAGACACGGCCCAGACUCCUACGGGAGGCAGCAGUAGGGAAUCUUCCGCAAUGGACGAAAGUCUGACGGAGCAACGCCGCGUGAGUGAUGAAGGGUUUCGGCUCGUAAAGCUCUGUUGUUAGGGAAGAAACAGUACCGAACGAACUAGGUCGGUACCUUGACGGUACCUAACCAGAAAGCCACGGCUAACUACGUG